UCGAAAAGUAGCCGCUGAUUUUCUGGAGCCGAGAAAACCURUGUUUUUGCGCUUAGGUUGCUUUUAUCUGACUGAAACUUUACCUAGAAGCUUUUGGAGCUCAGACACUGAGUCUUUGUUCUGCAAGGAACUGCUGCUGCCACUUAAGGAGAUCUCAGAUAAUGUCCCCGAUUGAAGAUCAGUGCUCGACGCACAUUAAUUUUCUUUCUUUUCUUUCUUUCUCUUUUUAAAGCUCUGCCUUCGACCUGUGGCGGAAUCACGCGGCAGUAGGGGGCAGAUAGAAGCCCUUUGGACGAGGGUCACCUCCGUCCUUGUUGUUCACUUGAGAGCAGUGGAGAGGAAAACGGUCCCCACUGGCGGACUUUGGCUUCUGGAGCCCCGGGACCCACCGGUCCCUGCCUCCCCACGCCUCCUCCUGGUCGCGCCUACUUUUCCCGUGGAGCGAGAGAAGCCUUCUUCCAGAGCCUGUGGGGUCGGUCUCCUUGACCCCUCCUGCUCCCUCCCCGGACCCCCUCCAGCCAUCGCCACCAUCCACCACCUCGGUUCCACUCAAUCGAUUUUUGCUGCAUGUUAACAUUUACUGCAACUUAGAAAAUGACUCGUGAGGCUGGGACCUUAAGUACCGAGAUUAAGGCAUGCGGUGGUUUCCUGAGAGCCCCAAGACUCGCCAUGUCAAAGCUUCCUCCUUCCAGAAGUAGCAAAGCUUCUGUCCCUCUGCCAGCAGUUUGCCUCAGCGGGGAACCCCCUGACUCGAAGUUCAGGGUAGGAACCUUUUCCCUCGUCGCUCUGGAAUAUGAAACCUAGAACAGUCCCCUCUGUCUUUGGAAGUGGUGGGGCACCACAUCAGAUUGUGAUUUGGAACUCAGACUAGUGUAGUCCAGCAAUUCUGCUUCUCUGGGUAGGUAGCAGGGUGGGGUUGCUGCACCYAACAGUAGUUUAAUGGCAUUUCCCUCUGCCCUACGGAAGGACUAGCCGGGCCUUCUGGGGCAUCACUUCACGCAGUGGUUCCCUGCAUUUGGUGGACCGCCAGUCUAGCUGACUUGACAGCUUCACCCCGCUGUGUGCGGGCGUGAGGGAGGGGGAGGGGAGACUGUGGACAGUGGUGGAGACCCUGCAGGCCAUCCUCGGUGCUAAGGAAGGGGCUUUGCCUGCUAGUGCCCUAGGCUACAGACUACAGAUCACU